rnacentral:rRNA from 1 species
CGGAUGAGGGAGCUUGCUCCUGGAUUCAGCGGCGGACGGGUGACUAAUGCCUAGGAAUCUGCCUGGUAGUGGGGGAUAACGUCCGGAAACGGGCGCUAAUACCGCAUACGUCCUGAGGGAGAAAGUGGGGGAUCUUCGGACCUCACGCUAUCAGAUGAGCCUAGGUCGGAUUAGCUAGUUGGUGGGGUAAAGGCCUACCAAGGCGACGAUCCGUAACUGGUCUGAGAGGAUGAUCAGUCACACUGGAACUGAGACACGGUCCAGACUCCUACGGGAGGCAGCAGUGGGGAAUAUUGGACAAUGGGCGAAAGCCUGAUCCAGCCAUGCCGCGUGUGUGAAGAAGGUCUUCGGAUUGUAAAGCACUUUAAGUUGGGAGGAAGGGCAGUAAGUUAAUACCUUGCUGUUUUGACGUUACCAACAGAAUAAGCACCGGCUAACUUCGUGCCAGCAGCCGCGGUAAUACGAAGGGUGCAAGCGUUAAUCGGAAUUACUGGGCGUAAAGCGCGCGUAGGUGGUUCAGCAAGUUGGAUGUGAAAUCCCCGGGCUCAACCUGGGAACUGCAUCCAAAACUACUGAGCUA